CUGAGCUUUGAUGUGAUGUUCAUUCUGUUUGAAAAAUCCAUCUAAUUUGUUGGGGCCAUAAAAUGGAGACAAAUGGGAAUCUAUGCUCAAAGGAGGGAUUCUUUGCGACUGAAGGAGCUGUUAAAAAGAAGAAAAGGGUCUGGCAUCAUGUGUGGGAUGAAGUCUGACAUCAUCUUUGCAAGGAAGAAUGAUUAUGAAGAAUCCAAGAUAGGGAGUGUGAAUAUUGAACAAAAAGCAUGCAAGCAAGUCCAUU